CUUUGAGAAGGUUAGGUCAUCCAACUGUUGGAAUAGUUGGUUCAAGCGAGUAGGGAGAUCUCUUAGGCAAAUCCGGGAGGUCAAUUCUGAGACGUGAUAAUGAGGCACUUAGGUGCUGAAGUGAUUGAUACCAUGCUUCCAAGAAAAGCCACUAAGCUUCAGUCAUAUUAAAACCGUACCGCAAACCGACACAGGUGGGCAGGAUGAGAAUUCUAAGGCGCUUGAGAGAACCCGGGAGAAGGAACUCGGCAAAUUUGCACCGUAACUUCGGGAGAAGGUGCGCCCCGGUAGGUUGUAGAGAUUUACUCUCGAAGGCCGAUGGGGUUGCAGUGAAAAGGUGGCUGCGACUGUUUAAUAAAAACACAGCACUCUGCAAACACGAAAGUGGACGUAUAGGGUGUGACGCCUGCCCGGUGCCGGAAGGUUAAUUGAUGGGGUGCAAGCUCUUGAUCGAAGCCCCGGUAAACGGCGGCCGUAACUAUAACGGUCCUAAGGUAGCGAAAUUCCUUGUCGGGUAAGUUCCGACCCGCACGAAUGGCGUAACGAUGGCCACACUGUCUCCUCUCGGGACUCAGCGAAGUUGAAAUGUUUGUGAAGAUGCAAUCUACCCGCGGCUAGACGGAAAGACCCCAUGAACCUUUACUGUAGCUUUACAUUGGACUUUGACAAGAUUUGUGUAGGAUAGGUGGGAGACUAUGAAGUAGGGACGCUAGUUCUUAUGGAGUCAACCUUGAAAUACCACCCUGAUGUUGUUGAGGUUCUAACCUAGGUCCGUAAUCCGGAUCGGGGACCGUGUAUGGUGGGCAGUUUGACUGGGGCGGUCUCCUCCCAAAGAGUAACGGAGGAGUGCGAAGGUAACCUAGGUACGGUCGGAAAUCGUACUGAUAGUGCAAUGGCAUAAGGUUGCUUGACUGCGAGACGGACAGGUCGAGCAGGUGCAAAAGCAGGUCAUAGUGAUCCGGUGGUUCUGUAUGGAAGGGCCAUCGCUCAACGGAUAAAAGGUACUCUGGGGAUAACAGGCUGAUUCCUCCCAAGAGUUCAUAUCGACGGGGGAGUUUGGCACCUCGAUGUCGGCUCAUCACAUCCUGGGGCUGUAGCCGGUCCCAAGGGUAUGGCUGUUCGCCAUUUAAAGUGGUACGUGAGCUGGGUUUAAAACGUCGUGAGACAGUUUGGUCCCUAUCUGCCGUGGGCGUUGGAAGUUUGAGGGGGGCUGCUCCUAGUACGAGAGGACCGGAGUGGACGGAUCUCUGUGGACCGGUUGUCAUGCCAAUGGCAUAGCCGGGUAGCUAAAUCCGGAAGAGAUAAACGCUGAAAGCAUCUAAGCGUGAAACUUGCCUCGAGAUGAGACUUCCAUGUGCUUUAAGCACACUAAAGAGUCGUUCGAGACCAGGACGUUGAUAGGUCGGAUGUGGAAGCGCAGUAAUGCGUUAAGCUGACCGAUACUAAUUGCUCGUGAGGCUUGAUCCC
rnacentral:rRNA from 1 species